AGGUCAAUGAACUGCUCAGGCAACUUGUACCUCCUGGAUCUAUAAACCUAACAAAAAUUGUAGUAAAUACAGCGGAAAACGAUUCAGCCUACUUUGCUCUAUGGAAUGAUGGGAAAGUAAAAAGCGAAAAGACACUGCGGGAUUUCAUCACAACAUAAACAAGUGCACGCAGUUGUGGAACACAGAUUUUGUGACGCUGCUAACGGGGCGAAGAAUGACCAAAGAUAAGGAUCCUAAACAGGGUGUUGAAGGUAU